AGGAGAAAAGGAGAGUUUUUAUUUUGUUGUGCUCAGUUUAAUUGGUUGUUUAAUGGGAAGAAAAAGAAGCAUACAUCCUUGAUUGUGGUUAUGGAAGAAACCCUGAGCCAUUAAUGUCUCUAGUGAAUUGCUCUGGGCUUCAUUAGGUAAAAUUCAUCCUUAAAAUCCUACAAAUUUUUACUCUAACUUGUGAAAUGAUAAUCCAGUAGUGACUGAUGCAGUUUUUGGUUGCUUAUUUGUUCUUUGCCAUACCUAGCUAAAGGUUGAACAGGACUAGCCAGGGCUAAGAUGAAGCAAUGGACAGCAUGAGCAAAAAGGCAUGAGAACUGCCCCCACCAAGCCUGGCCCAAAAGAGUGAGGUACUUUCUUAUUCUGGGACUGGAAGCCCAAAACUGCAUGGGGGCAUUUAGGCAAGUGCAAGAGGCCAGAGCAGAGCAGAGGCGGUGAGCAGAGGUGCCGGGAGAGAGUGAUCAGGUGGAGCA
rnacentral:lncRNA from 1 species